UCAGUACAAAAAAAAAAUUAAUGAGAUAUUUUCUCAGCAAAGCAUAAAAGCAGGACUGUAUUACCCUAACUUUCCCUAUUCCCUGGUAACCUUAACUCCUUGCCCCUUCUGACCUUUUGUGACACCAGUAGGGUUCUAAAUGAGGCAGCCACUUCCAUGCUUUUCUUUCCUUGUGAACUGAAGUCCACCCAGCUGCUGAUUUUUUCAUCAUCAUCUCCUUACUUGUGAUUGGAAGAGAAAUUGUAAAACAUGCUUGGAUUCAUUUAGACCAAAGUCAUCAGGUCAGGAGUAUGAAUUCCCUUGUCACCUCACUAACGGAACUUCAGCCUCUGAAAUACUUUUGAGAACUGGAAGUCCAAUCAAGAUCAUACAGGAAAUGGUAUAACCAAAGUGAUGUGAGGGGAGACACUGACCAUCUGCUGAAGAGACCACAAGCUGGGGUUCGUCUCUGCUGAUUUUAUGAUAUUUCUGCUACAAAAAUACCCUUUGCCUUAAGACAAAGAAAUUAGAUUUUGUAAUGGGGAAUGUUAAUUCAUUUCUUCUAAAUCAUAAAGAAAAAUUGCUCAAAUACUAAGAUUCGCAUGAAAUCCUCCAGCAGCCAGACCGUGCACAUUCACCGCGUCUUUUUAUUUCCUCACUACUUUAACUCAGUAGACAAUUAAUAAAUAUUACCUGAUUAUUGCAUAACGACUCUGUGAAUCACAUAAGCAUUUGUGUAUUUCUUGUAUCCUUAACGUAUUUUAUUUUAGACAAAACUGUGCCUUCUUGCCCUGUGCUGUACGCAGCAUGAUUUAUUAAACACCUUAAUGCAGCUUUUUGAUAAACUAUAAACUGUCUCCCUUAAAAAAAUGAGUUUUAUUUUUAAGAGACACAGAUUCGUUUGUACUCGAUAAGUCAUCAAGGGCCAUGAAACUGAGAGCCCAGGAUGAGGUGGUUUCUUUUAUUCUCAUUACAGAUUCUCUAGAUGGCUUCCGUACAGGGUGAGGCUUUCUUUUCCACAUCAGAAAUGAAUCAUAG
rnacentral:lncRNA from 1 species